UUGAAUUUAGAAAGAGACAUAAAAACUAUGAGUUGGGAGGAUUGAACAGAACGCUGUUUUACUAAGUGCAUGAUAACCUCUGGACUAAUAUAAGUUUAUAGAAGUGAAUUUAUUUCUGCACGUCUUCAUUCAAAAUAAAUUUAUUUGCUGAGCAAGAAACUUUUAUAAAGAUCAAAAUGGGUUCGCAACAAAAACGGCAGAAAUUGCAAGAAAAACUUAAGACGCUAGAAGCGGAGAAAAAAAAACAUUAGAGGAAUUAGAGAAUAUUAAAAAACUAGCACUAGCUGAAGAGUUGGCACGCAAAAAGAUAAAAAUCCUGAGUUAGAAAAUUUGCGUAAAAUUGUGGAAAAUUUAGUCAGAAAAUAAUAUUUUGAAGGACGAACUGACCGCAAAAAACGAAUUAUUUCAAGAAAUUGAAUCAAGUUAUGAAACUGAACAUAAAAAAAAUAAAAAACUUGUCAAUAGGAGCGAGCGCAGCGCACAUGAAUCAAUGUCAACAACGAGUGAGAGUGAGCAAGAAGCAUCAAAUGGUUUAUCGAAAACAAAAUUCGUUCCUAAGCAAAAAUACCACCAUCAUUCUCAACAAGGAGAAAGACUAAACAAUUAUAAUCGUCAAGGCCAGAAAUUUUACCAGCGCAGCACUGGACGUCAAAAUGAUGGUAAACCGUAUAAAUAUCGUAGCCUGAACAGCAAAGUACGCGGAAUGGUUUACCAAUGUUUGAAGGAGCACAAUAGCGGUCGCCAAGGUUGAAAAAAAAAAAAAUUCUGCAGUAAAAAAUAUAUUUUGUAUGU